UGAGGAUGCUGAGAAAGUAUGAAUAGCUUCUU
rnacentral:piRNA from 1 species